AACGUAGGACACAAGCGUUAUCCGGAGUUACUGGGCGUAAAGGGCGUGUAGGCGGACGUGUAAGUCUAUUCUGAAGGCUCCUGGCUAAACUGGGAGAGGCGAAUGGAGACUGCAUAUCUAGAGUGAGGAAGAGGAGAGUGGAAUUCCUGGUGUAGCGGUGAAAUGCGCAGAUAUCAGGAGGAACACCAAUGGCGAAGGCAGCUCGCUGGGACGGUACUGACGCUGAGGCGCGAAAGCGUGGGGAGCAAACAGG
rnacentral:rRNA from 1 species